CUAUUAUCGAGUCGUACAUCUUAGGAUAAGAGACCUAAGAAGCGGCGAUUCGAGACUAUCGUUAAUCAGGAUUUAGAAGAUCGAGUUUCCUAUCUGGUACUAAAUAAACAGAGAAGAAGCGCGAAUUUGGUGUGAUCGCGCUAAAUGCAGUGGUCGAAGGAGGGAUGGACCCAUCAAUGUUUGUUGCGUAUAAUCCUCAUACAAAUGGCGUUCCACUAGAGUCCAAACUUGCUACCUACAUGAAUCGACACAGUCAAGGAGUAGUUCUAAAUACCCCCGCACUUACAAAACAUUUGGCGGGCCUUACUUUGGAUUCGCAGAAAAA